UGUUGGAUUCAAGUGGGUGUGUGGAUCAACUCCACAAAAAUUGGCUGUUGGAGCAGCAGCAAUGGCAGCAAUGGCACAAGCAAGGAAGAA
rnacentral:ribozyme from 1 species